rnacentral:rRNA from 1 species
UGGGGGAUAUUGCACAAUGGAGGAAACUCUGAUGCAGCGACGCCGCGUGAGGGAAGAAGGUCUUCGGAUUGUAAACCUCUGUCUUUGGGGACGAAGAAAGUGACGGUACCCAAAGAGGAAGCCACGGCUAACUACGUGCCAGCAGCCGCGGUAAUACGUAGGUGGCGAGCGUUGUCCGGAAUUACUGGGUGUAAAGGGUGCGUAGGCGGACUGGCAAGUUGGAUGUGAAAUCUCCGCGCUUAACGUGGAGGUUGCAUUCAAAACUGUUGGUCUUGAGUGAGGCAGAGGCAGGCGGAAUUCCCGGUGUAGCGGUGAAAUGCAUAGAGAUCGGGAGGAACACCAGUGGCGAAGGCGGCCUGCUGGGCCUUAACUGACGCUGAGGCACGAAAGCAUGGGUAGCAAAC